rnacentral:rRNA from 1 species
AACGAACGCUGGCGGCGUGCCUAACACAUGCAAGUCGAGCGCGAAAGGAGCAAUCCGAGUAGAGCGGCGCACGGGUGCGUAACACGUGGAUAAUCUGCCUCAGGGUCGAGGAUAACCUUCCGAAAGGUUGGCUAAUACUCGGUAAGCUUACGGUGACUUCGGUCGCUGUGAGAAAACUAGACCUCUAUUUAUAAGUUUAGGCCCAGAGAUGAGUCCGCGGCCCAUCAGCUAGUUGGCGGGGUAACGGCCCACCAAGGCUACGACGGGUAGCUGGUCUGAGAGGACGAUCGGCCGCACUGGAGCUGAGACACGGUCCAGACUCCUACGGGAGGCAGCAGUGGGGAAUUUUCCACAAUGGGCGAAAGCCUGAUGGAGCAACGCCGCGUGUGUGAUGAAGGUCUUCGGAUCGUAAAGCACUUUCGACUGGGACGAAAAACCUUUGGCUAACAUCCAGGGGCCUGACGGUACCAGGAGAAGAAGCACCGGCUAACUCUGUGCCAGCAGCCGCAGUAACAC